UGGAGGGUUUGGCUUCUCAGAACACCCAUUUUGUCCACCCUGUGAUACCUUUUGCCAUCUUUCACCUACAUUCUGUUCUAGGUACUUCAGAUUUGUGAUUUUUGUUGUUGUUUGAAGGUAUUUUUAUGUUUUUUUGUUUGUUUGUUUGUUUUUGAGAAUGAGUCCUGCCAUGUAGCACACACUGAUCGGAAACUGUUUACAUAGUCCAGGCUGGCUUUAAACUUACAUUCCUCCUGCUCCAGCCUUUUGAGUGUUGCGGUCACAGACAUCCGCCAUUGUGCUUCUGAGCUUGUGUUUAAAUGGCAGUGCCUUAGCAAGAGAAAGAGUGUGGUGCAUAAGGAUAUUAAGGAGAUAUUCAAUAUGUUCAUGGUCGGGUCAUGUUGCCAGCUGCAAUUGUUUCAUUUAAUUGCACUGUGUUAUUUCAUCAAGACAUUAAUAUGAGUAGGAGGGUGUUGAUUUAGGACAAGUUUUAGAUCCACUAAAAUUAAUUGUAGGUUUGUCCUUGAAGCCCCAUGUUUUAUUUGGGCCCAUUAGUUCUUCAAGCACAGUGUGUGAUGCUGUGUAAGUUUACCAGGACUCAUGAACUCCACAUUCCAUCUUUAGGCUCUGCAUUCCCUUCAGUUUGCCUUGGUACUAUGAUACUCACACCAUCUGCCUUCUAAGCACUGUUAGUUCCUGCAGCCUCUGGCCUCACAGCCUGCAGAGGUUCUCUCUCACUUGGAAGGGUGGAUACUCUGGCUUGGACAGUUCCUUAUUUGCUUCUUCUAGCACUUUAAAAUGCACUGCUCACUUGGAAGGGCCCUGAUAUCUGUGUUUCUGCUGAACAGUUCACCCUGCCUGUGUCUUCUGUAUAGGGAAUGUCUGUCUUUAGUCUCUGACUGCUUUGGGAGCCCACUCUUUACCUCUUGUUUGGCCAGUUUAUCUUGACACACAAAAUAUAAAAUACCCUCUGGGUUCAUCAACUUUCUUGGACCUGAAGUUUGACUUUUACAAAAUGUGGACAUUACUUACAGUGAUUUUAGAAGUUUUGUUUGUUUGUUUUGUUCCUGCCCCAUUUUUUUUGUCUCGUGUGUGAUAUGGGAGUUCUGUGUGUGCAACGUGCUCAGUAAGCCAAGGAGGCUCCGGACGUCUCCUUUUCUCAUCUCUUUACUUUUCCUCUAAGGCUUAUACAAUUUCCACUUAUUUGUCUUCAAUGCAUUUGGUCCUUUGGUCUGCUGUCUCCAAGAUUCCAGUCACCACAUCAUAUCUAGUACCUUUUAAUUUUUUUUUAAAUACCUUUACUUAUUUUUGUGUGGGGAGUGCCUAUGCCACAGCACAUAUAUGGAGGUCAGAGGACAAUUUAAAGUUUCUGUGUGGGUCCUGCAGAGAAAACCAAAUUUUUAGGCUUGCCGGCCAGCAUCUUUACCCAGGAAGCCUUUUCACUAAGCCCUCUUCUGUUUUGUUGUUGCUUGGUUAGUUUGGUUUUUUGUUUUGUUUUGUUUUGUUGUUUUUGUUUUGUUUUUGAAGCAGACUUGAGGUUUAUUAAAUAUUAUUAAGUACAUUAUUAAAACAUAGGUGUAAACACAGCAUUAAGAGUGAAUAUUGGACAUGUAAAAGGAGGAUGGUACUGCACACCGCAGAACAGCCACCAGCCUCUCUGCAGAGCAGCAACUCCAUGUCUUAGUUGCUCUUUAUGUGAAUUUGGUAGCUUUUGAAGUCACAUCUACUUACACUAUUCAAAGAUGUAAAAGAUGGGGUAGAAAUGUUCACUUAUUCCUGCUAUUGGCUGCAAGACUUGAAAGUGGUUUACAGAAUGUAUGGCACAGGUUCCCAGGCCUUUAGAUAAAAACAUAGUCAAAGGGAGCUUUGUUAUGCUUAGGUCACAAUCCAAAACCUAUUUUGACUGUAAACACAGUUUAUAAUCUUGCUAAAGAGCUCUUCCAGCAGCAGAUGUGAGGGGCUCCUCUUAACUUCUUCCCAUCUUUCUGCUCAGACUCAAUUUUUCUUUUUGAGACUUAGAUCAUCCCUUUGAAGGUUUGUUCUUAUUUUUUAGACAUGGUCAAACUCUAUAACCCAGGUUGACUUACUACUCACUAUGUAGUCCAGGCUUGCCUCAGACAUGCAGUGAUUCCCCCUGCCCCAGCUUCCCAGCUACUAGAAUUAUAUGUGUGAACCACCACACCCACUUUGCAGUCCCUUAAUCCUACAUUUUCUGAAUCUUCCUGUUGAAUAGGGAUGAAGACCCUGUUCUCCAAGUGUGAAAAUCCAGUCUAACAGCUCUAAUGGGGACAAAGUCCAGGCUUGGAGACUGAAGGGUUAUCACAUGAUUGAGGUCUAAAAGGAGGAUAUCAUUACUCAGUAUAUAGCACACAUACAAGCAUUGCUAAGCCUGGUCAUAAGAGUAGCACCAGAAACAUGCAUAUGUGUGCUUCAGCAUGUGAAAACCAGGGGUCAACAUCCAAGUUUUCUUCAAUGUCUUUCCACCUUAUCUUCUGAAACAAAGUCUCCCUUGGACCGUGAAGCUCAGCAGUCUUGGUAGACUGGCUGGCCAGUGCGCUUAGUCCUCUCCUCAGUGCUGGGUUGCUGGGUUACAGACAUGGCCUACCACACAGUUUUCUACAAGGUGCUAUGUAUUCACACUCAGUUCCUCAGGAUCACACUCACUCCAUCAUCAGUUUAGUGGCAAAAAUGAACUGGAAAUGUACAUGAGGAAGAUUUCUAGGACUGGAAAAUGUUGUGACUAUAUUAUUUUGGGUGAUAGUUACAUGAGACUAUGAAGUUUUAAAAUUCAUUGGCCUGAAAAUAUUAUACUACAUUUUAUUGUACAUCAACUCCACCUGUUCUCAUUUCAUUUACUGCUGUGAUAAACCACUCUGACUGAAAACAACUUGGGGAAGAAAGAGUUUCAGCUACAUCGGAUGACAGCUCAUCACUGAGGGACAGGAGCCAUGGGGGAGGGGAGCGUUACUGACUGCCUCACCCUCUCUCUGCCUUGUUCACAGGCUCAUGCUCAGAGUUUCAGUUUUGUUUUCAUUUUUUUUAAGAUUGUUUAUUUUUAGUGCGUGUGUGUGUGUGCAUGUAUCUUUCUGUGGGGUAUGCCUAUGGAGACCAGAAAAAGGUAUCCCAGCCCCUGGAGCUAAAGUUACACUUGUUGGGAAUAUUAGGAACUGAGCUAGGGUGCUGUGAAAGAACAAGAGAUGGAAAAGGAAAAAAAAAAGAAAGAAAUGU
rnacentral:lncRNA from 1 species